UGGGCUUGACAUCCCACGAACCUGAAAGUGGUUUUCCGCAAGGACACCUGUAGAGGUGCUGCAUGGCUGUCGUCAGCUCGUGUCGUGAGAUGUUGGGUUAAGUCCCGCAACGGGCGCAACCCUUGUCCGCUGUUGCCAUCAGGUAAUGCUGGGCACUCUGCGGAGACUGCCGGUGACAAACCGGAGGAAGGUGGGGAUGACGUCAAGUCAGCAUGGCCUUUAUGUCCGGGGCUACACACGUGCUACAAUGGCCGGUACAAACCGCUGCAAACUCGCGAGGGUGAGCUAAUCGGAGAAAGCCGGUCUCAGUUCGGAUCGUAGGCUGCAACUCGCCUGCGUGAAGUCGGAAUCGCUAGUAAUCGCGGAUCAGCACGCCGCGGUGAAUACGUUCCCGGGCCUUGUACACACCGCCCGUCACAUCACGAAAGCUGGCUGUACUCGAAGUCGCUGAGAAUCUC
rnacentral:rRNA from 1 species